rnacentral:rRNA from 1 species
UACGAAGGGGGCUAGCGUUGCUCGGAAUUACUGGGCGUAAAGGGCGCGUAGGCGGAUAUCUAAGUUGGGGGUGAAAUCCCGGGGCUCAACCUCGGAAUUGCCUUCAAAACUGGAUAUCUUGAGUUCGGGAGAGGUGAGUGGAACUCCGAGUGUAGAGGUGAAAUUCGUAGAUAUUUGGAAGAACACCAGUGGCGAAGGCGACUCACUGGCCCGAUACUGACGCUGAGGCGCGAAAGCGUGGGGAGCAAACAGG